rnacentral:rRNA from 1 species
UACGGAGGGUGCAAGCGUUGUUCGGAAUUACUGGGCGUAAAGCGCGCGUAGGCGGAUUGGAAAGUAUGGGGUGAAAUCCCGGGGCUCAACCCCGGAACUGCCUCAUAAACUUCCAGUCUGGAGUUCGAGAGAGGUGAGUGGAAUUCCGAGUGUAGAGGUGAAAUUCGUAGAUAUUCGGAGGAACACCAGUGGCGAAGGCGGCUCACUGGCUCGAUACUGACGCUGAGGUGCGAAAGCGUGGGGAGCAAACAGG